UACAGAGGGUGCGAGCGUUAAUCGGAAUUACUGGGCGUAAAGCGUGCGUAGACGGCUAUCUAAGUCGGGUGUGAAAGCCCCGGGCUCAACCUGGGAAUUGCAUUCGAGACUGAAUAGCUAGGGUACGGUAGAGGGAAGCGGAAUUUCCGGUGUAGCGGUGAAAUGCGUAGAUAUCGGAAGGAACAUCAGUGGCGAAAGCGGCUUCCUGGACCAGACCGACGUUCAGGCACGAAAGCGUGGGGAGCAAACAGG
rnacentral:rRNA from 1 species